UGGGGAAUAUUGCACAAUGGGGGAAACCCUGAUGCAGCGACGCCGCGUGAACGAAGAAGGUAUUCGUAUCGUAAAGUUCUGUCCUACGGGAAGAUAAUGACAGUACCAUAGAAGAAAGCUCCGGCUAAAUACGUGCCAGCAGCCGCGGUAAUACGUAUGGAGCGAGCGUUGUCCGGAAGUAUUUGGCGUAAAGGGUACGCAGGCGGUUUAAUAAGUCGAAUGUUAAAGAUCGGGGCUCAACCCCGUAAAGCAUUGGAAACUGAUAAACUUGAGUAUUGGAGAGGAAAGUGGAAUUCCUAGUGUAGUGGUGAAAUACGUAGAUAUUAGGAGGAAUACCAGUAGCGAAGGCGACUUUCUGGACACAAACUGACGCUGAGGUACGAAAGCGUGGGUAGCAAACAGG
rnacentral:rRNA from 1 species